rnacentral:rRNA from 1 species
UACGGGAGGCAGCAGUGGGGAAUAUUGCACAAUGGGCGCAAGCCUGAUGCAGCCAUGCCGCGUGUAUGAAGAAGGCCUUCGGGUUGUAAAGUACUUUCAGUCGUGAGGAAGGUGUUAAGGUUAAUAACCUUAGCAAUUGACGUUAGCGACAGAAGAAGCACCGGCUAACUCCGUGCCAGCAGCCGCGGUAAUACGGAGGGUGCGAGCGUUAAUCGGAAUUACUGGGCGUAAAGGGCACGCAGGCGGUUAAUUAAGUUGGAUGUGAAAUCCCCGGGCUUAACCUGGGAAUGGCAUUCAAGACUGGUUAGCUAGAGUCUUGUAGAGGGGGUAGAAUUCCAUGUGUAGCGGUGAAAUGCGUAGAGAUGUGGAGGAAUACCGGGUGGCGAAGGCGGGCCCCUGGGACAAAGGACUGACGCUCAUGUGCGAAAGCGUGGGGAGCAAACAGGGAUUAGAUACC